UCUCGUGUUCUCGCGCAUGAGUUUGUGGCGAAGAACUUGACCGCGUCGACGUGGUGCGCCGAGUACCCGUUCUGGCCCCUGUUGAGACUUCUUCGGGGAAUUUUUUUGUUCUCGUGUUCUCGCGGAUGAGUUUGUGGCGAAGAACUUGAACGUGCCGACCUGGUGCACUAAGUGCCCGUUUUGGCCCCUGUUGAAACAUCUUCGGGGAAUUUUUUUGUUUUCGUGUUCUCGUGGAUGAGUUCAUUUGGGGAACGCUUCGACCCGUCCACUUUUGUGAUGCGUGGCACUUUUUUGUGAUGUAUUCUAUAACAUACCAAAAACGCGUCAAGAUUGGUGACAUACGUGCGGACGAAAAUUUAAAAAAGAGGCCAAAAAGGCGCAAGCCAGUCCCAAGGAAAAGACCGAUUCCGAGACGGAUACAGCUUCGGAAGGUGAGGCGAAAAAAGACGAUGACAGUGGUACAGAUACAGCAGCGGAAGAAGAGAUGCAGCAACCCCGCAAUUUAACAGCAGUCUACGAGGAGGCGAAGCAUCUCUUCAAUAUAUCACCCUUCGAGGUGUUAAAACCCCUCACAAGGAUAUGGCUCGCAGCCCAAUACGUAGAACUACAGGAUGCAUUAUCAGAAGCAACUGACACCGGUCGGCGGCAAUGAAUGAAGAAGGGAGCCUUCUUUUAUAUAUAAUAUAUGUAAAUAUUAAAUUAGUAAAUAAUAAUGAAU